CCCGGGUCUUGUAUACACCGCCCGUCACACCAUGGGAGCGGGAUGUACCAGAAGUAGGUAGGCUAACCGCAAGGGGGCCGCUUACCACGGUGCGUUUCGUGACUGGGGUG
rnacentral:rRNA from 1 species